rnacentral:rRNA from 1 species
ACCCCUACGGGGGGCAGCAGUAGGGAAUAUUGGGCAAUGGGCGAAAGCCUGACCCAGCCAUGCCGCGUGCAGGAUUGACAGCUCUAUGAAUUGUAAACUGCUUUUAUUUGGAACGAACAAAACCGAUUCUUCGGUAACUGACGGUACCAGAUGAAUAAGCACCGGCUAACUACGUGCCAGCAGCCGCGGUAA